UUUGUUGGCAGUGGCACUAGAAGGAUUAAGAAAGCAAUGAACUGGGUGCCAAUUUUCCUUUUGCCUGCAGAAGUGGUUCUUGGCACAGCUGGUACAGUGUGCCAGCAACAGGCUGUUGGCAGGAAGUCAAAUUGUUACUGAAGAGAUUUUUAAUGUUGUGUGCUCUGAAUUGCUCUGGCCUUUGGUGUAUGAACGUGGCAUCUUCUUUUCCAGGUUACAGAUGUGAAACACAACAUGAGGAAGUGCAAAGCUGACAUACUCCUGGCCUGGAACAUCCCAUGUCCUGAGAACCUCAGACAUUAUUAACUGGCCUAAAAUAUGUUCUAAAAUCUCUGCUGUGAAAGCUGCUCCUCCUUUGUGGUCCAGCCAGGAAAUCCAGCAGUGGAAGAGCUCAGGCCCGUGGGGACAGUGCCUCCCCUCCCCUGGAGGACAGCAGAACUGGACCCCUGACUCGGUGCUCAUGCCAGGACUAUUGCCCUGAUUUGAUAGCAGCUAUUGAAGGAAAUAAAAAGGACAGCUUUGGAGCAGUCUCGUCAGGCAGCAUGAUGACUCUUGGCAGCAGGAGAACCAUUUUGCCUUUCUGGAAACUGCUGGUCAGACCCAGGGUCUCAACAAACAAG
rnacentral:lncRNA from 1 species